UCCAAGGAAAGAAGCAAGGGUUUUGAAAACCCUGAGGCUUGGUGAGCCGCCGGCUUCCCAUGGAAAAGGAAGGGGGCUGCAGCUGGUUUUUCCUCUGAAUUAUGAGCUUUAAUGAGUCAUUAAUACUCUUUUCUUGGGCUGUAUCAGAUCUGAAACCAGAACCCUAGCCCACACAAGCCCUGGCCGCCACCUAUAGGCAAGGAUUAGAGUGAAAUCCUUAUUUUCUUACAAGCAAAACAGCACCAGAAAAUAUUUCACGUAAACACCAACCAAACAAGCAAACCAGCACCCUUCCCCUUGCUCCUAAGAGGCCUCCACUCGUCACCCUUGCGCCACCAGCAGCCACCGCCCACCAAGGAGGAGGAGACACGAGAAAGAGAGAAAAACCGCAAGGAAGGAGAGGAAACGCGAGAAGGAGAGGAAGCACGUGGAGGAAGGAGAAUUUUGGACAGCAGAGGAAGCUUUUUCUAUUCUUCACUUCUCUCCAUCAAAAUCCUGCUUCUUUUCAUCUAAAUUCAUUCAAAACCCGAGAUGGUCGUGAAGAUAAUGGCGAUGACUCAUUCUUGGGAGUUGAUGCUACGUGACGUGCCAAUACCGGAGGACGACUACACUUCAGAGGAAGAGGCUAAGGAAUAGGGUUUGGGUUGAGAGUCUUUUGUUUUCUGUUGGGGUUGAGAGUUUCCGAAGUGUUGGUAUCGAACAAUUUUAUUGCUUAAAUUCGAAUGAACAAGUUUUGAUGUAAUCUUUAUUUUCAUUCAGGCCUUUGAUUCGUA